rnacentral:ribozyme from 1 species
GAAGAUCAGAGUAGAGGGAACACUGACUGGCGUGUCCGAGGAGGGAUUCCGCGGGAAGAAGAACGGAGACUCCAGAAAAACGUGCGAACUUGUCUGCGAC